rnacentral:rRNA from 1 species
UACAGAGGGUGCGAGCGUUGUUCGGAAUUAUUGGGCGUAAAGGGCGCGUAGGCGGCCACGCACGUCCGUUGUGAAAUCGCCCGGCUCAACUGGGCGGGGUCGGCGGAUACGGCGUGGCUGGAGCAAGCUAGGGGGCAAUGGAAUUCCCGGUGUAGUGGUGGAAUGCGUAGAUAUCGGGAGGAACACCAGUGGCGAAGGCGGUUGCCUGGAGCUUUGCUGACGCUGAGGCGCGAAAAGCGUGGGGGAGCGAUCCGG